UUAGUUCGCAAGAUGAAAAACAUCCAGAGCCAAAGAGGUGGCUGUGAGUGGGUGACGCUGGCUUCUGCUUCAUAGGAGGGAUGUAGUGGAGACAAAUGAGAUGGAGCGUUGUGAAUGUUUCCCCGGGCUCCUUGAGAACAGGGGGUCUGCAGCUGUACAUCAAAGGGUUUCUCUACCAGGUGUCCAACCCGAGUCGAUGAGAUAACAGAAGAACAAGUCCUGGAUGGAGAUGUGCAGGAGCUGAUGGAUUUGGUAUACCACCAUGUCCCAGAGGCAAAGCUGGUGGAAUGCAUUGGUCAAGAACUUAUCUUCCUCCUUCCAAACAAGAAUUUCAAGCAGAGAGCAUAUGCCAGCCUUUUCCGAGAGCUGGAGGAGACUCUGGCUGACCUGGGGCUCAGCAGCUUUGGAAUUUCUGACACUCCCCUGGAAGAG
rnacentral:lncRNA from 1 species